AUGGAAGGACGCGGCGAUUAUGUUGCGGGUGGCAGCCGCACGGAGGAGCAGAUGAGUAUACUGGUGAUUACGGUAGACCUGCAAUGCUGCCGCUGCAAGAAGAAGAUCAAGAAUGUCCUCGAGUGUCUCAAAGAGGAUUACUGCAUCGAGAAGAUUGAGUACGAGGACAAGGACAACAGGGUGAUCGUCCGUGGGAAAUUCGACGCGGACAAGCUCUGCAAAAAGAUCUGGUGCAAGGCCUGCAAGGCCGUCAAGGAGAUCGAGAUCGUAAAACAAUGGCCGCCACCGCCGCCGCCGCCGCCCCCAUGCCCAGACAAGCCAAAGAAACCACCAUGCGCAUGCACAUGCCCGCCUCCGCCUGACCCGCCAAAACCAUGCACAUGCACAUGCCCGCCUCCGCCCGAGCCGCCAAAACCAUGUCCAUGUCACCCGAAGCCAUGCCCGCCGGCUCCUGAGCACAAACCAUGCAAACCUGAGCCCAAACCAUGCCCGUCUGAGCCCAAACCAUGCAAACCUGAGGCCAAACCAUGCCCGGCUGAGCACAAACCAUGCAAACCUGAGGCCAAACCAACAUACAAGUUCGUGCCAUACCCGUACCCGGUGCCGUACCCUAUGCAGUGCCAGAGCUCGCCGUGGAACUGCCCUCCGCAGCAGUGUCACUGCUGCCCUGCCGAAAAGCCACCGGCCCCGCCGCCACCGCCUCCCCCACCGCCGCCGGACCCCCCCAAGCCGGAGCCCUGUAAGUGCUCGCAGUCGCAACACCCCUCUCACGGUGGCUGUGGCUGCGGCAAGCCGCCUGCUAAUUGCUGGCCGCCGCCCACCUGGCCGCCGCAGCAACCCUGCUUCAUGCCGCCACCAUGGUUCACGGAGGAGAACCCAUCGGAUGCCUGCUCCAUCAUGUGA
rnacentral:rRNA from 1 species